AUCCAAUCCACCCUUAAAGAACAUGCUCGUAUCAAUCGAACCGAAAACUCCCCCAAUACAGCAAAAAAGAGUUUAACCAAGAUUGUUUUUUACAAGUUGAAGCACAGAAGGUCUAUGCUCGGUAACGUUUUGAUCAGCUGCAAUAAAUUAUAACAGUUUCGUUUAAUCAAAACCCAGUCUGAAACCAAAAUAAUCAUCACACUCACCCAUGCUGGUGUUCGAAACACAAUUUCAAGUUAUAAUCGAUGUUGUUAAUUUUACUUGUACAUAGCCGGCCUGCGCUGUUAUACCUAAAAAUGCCACGACUCAAAUUAAUGUAACAAACGUUAAGCGACGCGUUCUAGUUGAUCCAUCAACGCGUUCAUGCAUAUAGAAGCCUUUUUAAAACUAAUAUCUGUUCGUAGAAGAAAUGUACUGACGUUUUGUUUACCAGGUUCGCUGUGGCUAUAAAAAUAAACAGACAGUAACUAUAUGAAAACAUUUGCUUAAUACACAGCACUCCAAGAAAUAUGUUUUUUUAUGUUGAAUAUAUUUCUGAAAUAAUUGAAGGUUUACCAACCACCGCACGCAAAUAAGCGUUUUACCGCUUGUACACUAUAGCUUAUUGCUUUCUUAAAAGAUAUGGUCCUGGUUGCAACCGCAAAGCUGUUGUAAUAUCAAUCGGAAAUAAAUUCAACCAUGGCAUU